UGGCAAGUGUGUAUGUGGCGGCGCGUAAUCGGUUUCGUCCGACGUGUUCGGUGACCUAAACGAGCUAUUGGCAGUCUUGCUUUACCAAUGAGUAUAGAACAGCUGGAACUGAGUGAAGAAUACUGUAGCUUCGUAUCAGAAGAACGUUGGGAAUUAGUCAUGGGUUUUUAAGCCGAAAAUGGCGUACAUAGGUCUAAUAGCAGAAGCAUGACGUCCUGGAUUUUGGUUUCCCAUUCGUGAGGUAGAGGUUGAUCGAAUGCUCUCGAUGUAACAGUCAGGUCGGCCAAGAUGGUUACGGGGUCGAAGGGACGUUUAAACGGACCCAGGACCCAGAAACGGACCCAACUUAUUUCAAGUUUCUAUAGGUUUUCCGGACAGCUGUCAAAAAGAGACAAGCCUCCUCUCAGGAUAAACACCGACCGAUCCCCAAGGCUAAGAAAAAAUACCGCCCAGCAGAGAGGAGAACCUUAAACG